rnacentral:rRNA from 1 species
AUACGGAGGGUGCAAGCGUUAUCCGGAUUCACUGGGUUUAAAGGGAGCGUAGGUGGGCUGGUAAGUCAGUGGUGAAAUCUCCGAGCUUAACUUGGAAACUGCCAUUGAUACUAUUAGUCUUGAAUAUUGUGGAGGUCAGCGGAAUAUGUCAUGUAGCGGUGAAAUGCUUAGAGAUGACAUAGAACACCAAUUGCGAAGGCAGCUGGCUACACAUAUAUUGACACUGAGGCUCGAAAGCGUGGGGAUCAAACAG